rnacentral:rRNA from 1 species
GAACGCCGAUUGUUGAACUGAAAUGAAGAGCUUGCUCGGAUUUGACGUUUGAUGCUUCGGAGUUGCGAACGGGUGAGUAACACGUGGGGAACCUACCUCUCAGCGGGGGAUAACACAUAGAAAUGUGUGCUAAUACCGCAUAAUUGCUUUUGUCGCAUGACAAAAGUAUGAAAGGCGCAAUUGCGUCACUGAGAGAUGGCCCCGCGGUGCAUUAGCUAGUUGGUGAGGUAACGGCUCACCAAGGCAACGAUGCAUAGCCGACCUGAGAGGGUGAUCGGCCACAUUGGGACUGAGACACGGCCCAAACUCCUACGGGAGGCAGCAGUAGGGAAUCUUCGGCAAUGGACGCAAGUCUGACCGAGCAACGCCGCGUGAGUGAUGAAGGUUUUCGGAUCGUAAAACUCUGUUGAUAGAGAAGAACAAGAGGAAGAGUGGAAAGCUUCCUCCUUGACGGUAUCUAUCCAGAAAGCCACGGCUAACUACGUGCCAGCAGCCGCGGUAAUACGUAGGUGGCAAGCGUUGUCCGGAUUUAUUGGGCGUAAAGCGAGCGCAGGCGGUUGAUUAAGUCUGAUGUGAAAGCCCCCGGCUCAACCGGGGAGGGUCAUUGGAAACUGGUCAACUUGAGUGCAGGAGAGGAGAGUGGAAUUCCAUGUGUAGCGGUGAAAUGCGUAGAUAUAUUGAGGAACACCAGUGGCGAAGGCGGCUCUCUGGCCUGUAACUGACGCUGAGGCUCGAAAGCGUGGGGAGCGAACAGGAUUAGAUACCCUGGUAGUCCACGCCGUAACGAUGAGUGCUAA